rnacentral:rRNA from 1 species
UACGAAGGGGGCUAGCGUUGCUCGGAAUCACUGGGCGUAAAGCGCACGUAGGCGGAUUGUUAAGUCAGGGGUGAAAUCCUGGAGCUCAACUCCAGAACUGCCUUUGAUACUGGCGAUCUCGAGUCCGGGAGAGGUGAGUGGAACUGCGAGUGUAGAGGUGAAAUUCGUAGAUAUUCGCAAGAACACCAGUGGUGAAGGCGGCUCACUGGCCCGGUACUGACGCUGAGGUGCGAAAGCGUGGGGAGCAAACAGGG